CAACUACUCCCUCUGUCCCAAAUUUCUUAUCUUAGAUUUUUCUAGAUACGGAUGUAUCUAAUACUAAAAUGUGACUUGAUACAUCCGUAUCUAGACAAAUCUAAGACAAGAAUUUUGGGACGGAGGGAGUACUUU
rnacentral:pre_miRNA from 1 species